rnacentral:rRNA from 1 species
GACGAGGGACCUAGCGUUGUUCGGAAUCAUUGGGCGUAAAGCGGAUGUAGGUGGCUUCGUAAGUCAGGUGAUGGAAAGCCCAGAGCCUCAACUCUGGAAGUGCAUUUGAUACUGCGAAGCUUGAGUGUGGAAGAGGUAAGUAGAAUACCUGGUGUAGUGGUGAAAUACGUAGAUAUCAGGUGGAAUACCGGAGGCGAAGGCGGCUUACUGGUCCAACACUGACACUGAGAUCGAAAGCGUGGGUAGCAAACAGG